rnacentral:rRNA from 1 species
GACGAACGCUGGCGGCGUGCUUAACACAUGCAAGUCGAACGGAAAGGCCCUGCUUGCAGGGUGCUCGAGUGGCGAACGGGUGAGUAACACGUGGGUGAUCUGCCCCUUACUUUGGGAUAAGCCUGGGAAACUGGGUCUAAUACUGGAUAGGACCAUGCUGUAGGUGGUGUGGUGGAAAGAUUUUUUCGGUAAGGGAUGAGCUCGCGGCCUAUCAGCUUGUUGGUGGGGUAAUGGCCUACCAAGGCGUCGACGGGUAGCCGGCCUGAGAGGGUGGACGGCCACAUUGGGACUGAGAUACGGCCCAGACUCCUACGGGAGGCAGCAGGGGGGAAUAUUGCACAAUGGGCGCAAGCCUGAUGCAGCGACGCCGCGUGGGGGAUGACGGCCUUCGGGUUGUAAACGCCUUUCAGCCAUGACGAAGCCUCUUUUGGGGUGACGGUAGUGUUAGAAGAAGCACCGGCUAACUACGUG